rnacentral:rRNA from 1 species
GUUGCAGUUAAAGCUCGUAGUUGAACCUUGGGCCUGGCUGGCCGGUCCGCCUCACCGCGUGCACUGGUUCGGCCGGGCCUUUCCUUCUGGGGAUCCGCAUGCCCUUCACUGAGUGUGUUGGGGAACCAGGACUUUUACUUUGAAAAAAUUAGAGUGUUCAAAGCAGGCCUAUGCUCGAAUACAUUAGCAUGGAAUAAUAGAAUAGGACGUGUGGUUCUAUUUUGUUGGUUUCUAGGACCGCCGUAAUGAUUAAUAGGGACAGUCGGGGGCAUCAGUAUUCAAUUGUCAGAGGUGAAAUUCUUGGAUUUAUUGAAGACUAACUACUGCGAAAGCAUUUGCCAAGGAUGUUUUCAUUAAUCAGGAACCAAAGUUAAGGGAACCAAAAACAACAAAUACCGUCCUAAUCCUAACCCUAAACUAUGCCCACCAAGGAUCGGACGAAGUUAUUAUUUGACUCUCUCGGCACCUUACAAGAAAUCUAAGUCUUUGGGUUCUGGGGGGAGUAUGUGCGCAAGGGUGAAACUUUAAGAAAUUGACAGAGAGGGACCCCCCCGGGUGGAGACUGCGGCUUAUAUUGUCUCUCCACGGGGAAACUCUCCCCGUCCCCACACAAUGAAGAGUGAGAGAUAGAGAGCUCUCUCUCGAGAUUGUGGGUGGGGGUGCAUGGGCGCUCUCAUAUGGGGGAGAGAGAUGUCUGCGUAAUUGCGAUAACGAACGAGACAUUAUCCUGCGAUAUAUCCCUUAUAGCUCUGGGAGUGAGCUCGCGUCUCAUAGAGACUAUCUGCUCACACGCAUGGAGAUUGAGACAUAUCACGUCUGUGUGCGCUUAUAUGUGUGGGCGCACACGCGUACACUGAC